rnacentral:rRNA from 1 species
AAGAGACAGCAGUCGCCGCGGUAAUACAGAGGGUGCGAGCGUUAAUCGGAUUUACUGGGCGUAAAGCGUGCGUAGGCGGCUUUUUAAGUCGGAUGUGAAAUCCCUGAGCUUAACUUAGGAAUUGCAUUCGAUACUGGGAAGCUAGAGUAUGGGAGAGGAUGGUAGAAUUCCAGGUGUAGCGGUGAAAUGCGUAGAGAUCUGGAGGAAUACCGAUGGCGAAGGCAGCCAUCUGGCCUAAUACUGACGCUGAGGUACGAAAGCAUGGGGAGCAAACAGGAUUAGAUACCCCUGUAGUCCCUGUCUCUUAUAC